rnacentral:rRNA from 1 species
UACGGAGGGUGCAAGCGUUGUCCGGAAUCACUGGGCGUAAAGCGCACGUAGGCGGCUUUUUAAGUCCGGUGUCACAGCCCAAGGCUCAACCUUGGGUCGCACUGGAAACUAGAGAGCUUGAGUACAGAAGAGGAAAGUGGAAUUCCACGUGUAGCGGUGAAAUGCGUAGAGAUGUGGAGGAACACCAGUGGCGAAGGCGACUUUCUGGGCUGUAACUGACGCUGAGGCGCGAAAGCGUGGGGAGCAAACAGG